ensembl:lncRNA laminin subunit gamma-2-like
UACUUCUUCAAAUAAGCCCAAACUUCAAAUUACCUGUGUGUGUGUGUGUGUGUGUGUGUCUGUGUGUGUGUGUGUCUGUCUGUGUGUGUGUCUGUCUGUGUGUGUGUGUGUGUGUGUGUGUGUCUGUGUGUGUGUGUGUGUGUGUGUGUGUGUCUGUGUGUGUGUGUGUGUGUGUGUGUGUGUCUGUGUGUGUGUGAAGGACAGUUACCAUAGUAACUGAAAUGGGUCCUGUUGACUGUUUUAAGGGCGGGACUUCAAAAAUGUCGUCAUUUGCACUUCUGUGUUUUCCGUAAAACAAGAAGCAGAAGAAUGUGGCCAUUUGAGAAACUCGUCCAGCUUGUUAAUCUGUCACCCACUUUAAAUAUUACGCCUAACAUCUGGAUGGUGCUCACUUUAGUUCGUGUUUAUAGAUGAUACAAUAGUAAGGUAACAGCAAAUAGUUUCAGUCUUUGAUUCAGGUCACAUGAUUCGUGUCAUAUGACAUCGAUGAGCCCUCGAAAGAGCAGAAAUCUUCCACAGUUGCCAGUAAUACACUCUCUUACCAAUGCUGCCGUCUACCGUGAUGAGUUCAGAUGGCUGAGCAGAUGUGGGGACUCCUGAAGUAAAGCUCUGGAUCAUGGAGAGUUUGGGAGUUUUGUCCGUUCUCGCCACCGCUUGUGUUUUGGGAGUGGUGACGAGUCAGACAACACUCAGUCCUGCUGUGACGAUCACUACAGUCAGUGCAAACAUGAGCUCUGCUGCUCCCAGCACUACAGCGCUCAGCUGCUCCGGCCUCAACACUUCCACCUGCGCUGCCUGCGCUCCUGGCUCUUAUUAUGAUAAUGGAACUCUGUUGUGUUCUUGCUGUCCUGAGGCCGGCCUCUGUGUGUUACCUGGAGCCUGUCUUCUGUGUGUCCAGGGUUUCUAUCAGCCUCAAGCAGGACAGCAGGGCUGUCUGCCCUGUUUAUCUGGGUUUUACAGCAAUUCCACUGGAAGCCCUGUCUGCCAGCCAUGUCCUACUGGGUCCUACAGCAGUAACACAGGCUCUGCCUCCUGUACAGCCUGUGCACCAGGUUUCUACACAUCUUUGCAAAAUUCAACAUCAUGUAACCCAUGUCCACAAGGCACGUACUGCAAUUCCUCCAGCUGUACUCAGUGCCGGGUCUGUCCUGCAGGCUCAGAGGCUCUACAGACCGCUUCCAAACAAUGUACACCUUGUCGCCCAGGAAUGCACAAGCCUGCCCAUCAAACCAUGUGUCAGAUUUGCAGCAGUGGUUUCUAUCAGAUCCACUGGGGCCAGGAGAACUGUGACCUUUGUCCUGAAAACCACUACUGCCCUAGUCCUGAUGUAAAUCCGAUCCAGUGUCCCACUGAUGCGUUCUGUCCUGAGGGCAGCACUGUCCCUGGUUACUGCAUGGAGACCUUCUUCAGAAAAGCAGGGGAGACGUGUGAACUUUCUCCUGUUACCAUUGCACUGCUUGUUAUUGGAGGAGGAGUGAGUCUUCUCUUCAUCAUCAUCUUGGUUGUGCGGAGGAGAAGAGAUGAUGACAGCGAGCUUUCCCUUGCCCGGACGCCCCUCCUGCGAAAAGACCGCCCACCUGGUCGCUUCUAUGGAAUCCCUUGUGAUGCUGAGCCUGUUUAUGCAGGCUGGUGACAUUACCAUGUGCAUAGCUGCACACAUUUUGUCUGAAAGUUUCUAUUUAGAACUUAGAACUGUUCUGUGCUUUAUAUUGGUAAGAUACUAUUAAAUAUUUAAUGAAUGAAGAUGCACUUUUCUGCAUUCCAUUUUUAAAACCGGUUUACUACUGACUGUGUUGUGAAGUUACAUCUCUUUUGAUUCGGACUUCUUUUCAAGUCUGUAAUGUAUGAGAAACCAUUCAGUAUUUUGGGGCGGGGAUGUUUUCUUUUGUAUAAAUAUGUUAAGCCACGGCACUGAAAGAAUGUUGGACUAAAUUGUGCUGGAUUAUGCUUAUUUUGUUCACGGAUGUGUUUAUUUUUUUUGGUACCACUACGUUUGUCUACCUAAGGUCCUGCAGGUAUAUUGUAUUAUAUAAAUUUGCAGUAUUUCUUGUAUUUAACAUGUGAUGUGUCUCAUAUUCAUUUUAAAACUGAAUAUUUUGGACAAUUUCCAAGGUUGUAAACGGGAAUAAACAGCUUUUCGCAAGUUUGAUAUAAAAGUGUGGCGUCUCUGCAAGUUUGAUGGGUCAUUCCUGAAACAUUCCUUCAGAAAUCCCCAACAUGUGCUUUCAGUAUUUGAACUGAAACUCUUAU